AUAGGUUUAGACUUUUUCUCAAAGUUAUAUGUAAAAUUCUCUAAGUUUAUCCAUUAGUCUCCAUCAGGUGUGAUGCAAAAAUCAUCGUUUUCUUUCUUGUAUUAAAAUGUUAAAAACCAACUGGACUGUCCUUAAUUUGAUUGUUACAUGGUAUCCUCUCCAUUUUCUACCUCUAGGCUCAGUUAUUUUCUUUUUCUGAAGGGGUUAGUCUCGCUUUUGAUUUGUGGACCCAAGCCACGUUCAAUCCGUUUCCCCUGAUACCUGUCCCAGGACGUUUCCUGAAGCAAUCCUGCUCAUCAUUGAAUUUAAACAUUAAGUGACACGAUGGCUAGUGGCAGUUCCAAAAGCAUUUGUUUCUACAACAUGGGAAAGAACCCCUCACACAUUUCUACCCUCACAUCAUAAGCCUCACUGAAGGAGAGAAUAUUUCAAACACCUAUGGCCUGGGCUGAGUAGAAUAAUCCUUAGUCGACUGUGUAACUGGAGAUCUUCUGAGACCAUCUCAUUUUAAAACACGUAAUAUCUGACUACUAAGAUGAAGAAUGGAACCAUUUGGCUGUCAAUAAUUAGCUUGACACUACAUGAGGCAAAGGAGAGACACAGAUUCCAUUAAAGCACAGGACUAUUUGGAACCUAAAAAGCAAGUCAGAUUCUCUACUAAGGAUGAAGAAUUGAAUGAAGGAAACAUUUUGAAAAUUCAAAAAAUCAGCUAAAAGGAAUCUUAGGCAGGAAGAUCUUCCAAAGGAAAAAAAAAAAAAAAGAAUCAGAAAUGCAGAAAAUAUUGAAUUUUAUGGAAUUUCAAGGGUGAGUCAAAAUGCUUGAAAUAAUGUUUUAAUGUUAUACCAUUUCAUGUAUAAGACCCUCACAAACAUGUU
rnacentral:lncRNA from 1 species